rnacentral:rRNA from 1 species
UACGUAGGGGGGCAAGCGUUGUCCGGAAUUAUUGGGCGUAAAGCGCGCGCAGGCGGUUCAUUAAGUCUGGUGUAUAAACCAAGGGCUCGACCUUUGGACGCAUUGGAAACUGAUGGACUGGAGUGUAGGAGAGGAAAGUGGAAUUCCACGUGUAGCGGUGAAAUGCGUAGAGAUCGGGAAGAACACCGGUGGCGAAAGCGCUCUACUGGACCUCAACUGACACUGAGGGACGAAAGCUAGGGGAGCGAAAGGG